CGGGGUGAGUAACGCGUGGGUAACCUGCCUCAUACAGGGGAGUAACAUUAGAAAUGACUGCUAAUACCGCAUAAGCGCACAGGGUCGCAUGACCUGGUGUGAAAAACUCCGGUGGUAUGAGAUGGACCCGCGUCUGAUUAGCUAGUUGGCGAGGUAACGGCCCACCAAGGCGACGAUCAGUAGCCGACCUGAGAGGGUGAUCGGCCACAUUGGGACUGAGACACGGCCCAA
rnacentral:rRNA from 1 species